AUUUGCAGCAUUCAGCUGUAGGGCAGAUUUAGAGAUCAGCAUCAUGCCACUUUAAACUGUUGACAUUUACUAUCUAAAGCAGAGCUAAAAGAUUUCAUUUCAAGCCAAAGUCCAAGGAUGCAAAUACCAAUCGCAUGACUGACUACAGCUGGGAGAAGACAAGCGAGUGCCUUCUGAAAUUUAUCAACGUGGUCUCUAAACAAAAGCUUCAAAUGAUGACAACAUUGUUUCCUCAAAUCAUUCAGUACAGCAUUGUUUGAAGGAUCCUGAUGUCUCUUUUCAUAAAUAAGAAAUAUUGGAACCCUACAGCUUUUUGAGGGUUCUUUCUUCUUUAUUUUUUGUACGUUAAAGUGGCUUCCAAGUAAAAUUUUAGGAAAAUAUACAAGACUGUAUAGCACUAUGUUGGGGAAAGGGUGGCUUGGGAAGCAGUUGUGCAUAUCCCUUUUUAAAAAAAUUUUAUGCUCCCACAGACAUUCAGAUAAGGAUAUCAACGAACAGAUUGCCAGCCAGUUGGAAGGUGGGGUUAGGUUGUGAACCACUCAGAUAAGCCUCCACAGUAGGUUACAAAAUCAUUCCUGGAGAUGGUAAGGAACCAUCUGUUUAUUACACUGGCUAGUUAUCACUUAAAGCACCCUGGGAGCUCACUCCACCUGUAAUGGAAAAACCUGGCUACAAUCCACAGUCACAUCCUGGCUCUAGCUUUGUAAACCAUGACUUUGGUUCAAACCCAUCCAGUCAGAUCCUGAGAGCAGUUACCCUGAAGUGCAGAGAUGUGUCUGUUCUUCCCACAGGUGAAUCCCUCCUCAAGUCCACAUUAUGGGUGAGCCUUUGCACCCACCUGGUCAGGCCCUUUCUUUGUAGAACCCCAGCUUCCACUUAUAUCCUGCCCCAUCUCUCCAAGCCAAGAAUCCUCUACUCAUGCCUCCCAUUCAGACAGUGACUGAGACCAGCAAUACCCAACCCCUGAGCUCAGUCCCAGGCAUAGUCUACCUCCUAAGCCAUCCCUGGCAAGGGGUAUAAGCAUAGAUGCUUACUGGUUCCCAGUAGGUCACAAGAAUGAGUAAAAAAGUGGGGCAGACAUAAGAUAUCAAAACUAUAUGGUUGGAUGGAUGGCCCCAUCUAAUGAGGGCCAUUACCCUUUGGCCCCAGGAAUUGCUAAGGAUUGUCACCAUGAAGGAAUGCAGGAUGGAUGUUGCCAAAUGGCCUCAUUUCUUCAAAUAUAUAUGAAACAAACUAAUUUUCAAAAGUUGGUCUUUUUUCUUAAACUAUUUGAAACAAAGAAUACAUCAUAAUUUAGGCUUUUUGUCUUCAUUCAGGUUUGAGAUUCUAUGGUUCUAAAAACAUCUUGAUAUACUUGCCCAUGACUAUGACCUCAAAAAGCUUCCUGCUCUGAUUCCUCUUAGAAUCUUUCCAGAACUGCAGCCCCUGAAAGCAUUUGUCUGAGGGCAUUAAUCAGACUAGGGUCAUAGGCAGUGUGCCAAAAAAAAUCCCAUCUAUACUUAUUAUUUUCAACCAAUUCAACUCUACAACAGGCAGACAAAAGGAUCUAAGGUGCCACUGCCCGUCUCACAUGGCUGUGUGUGCACUAGACCAUUCUGGGCAGUCUUCGCUAAAAACCGUCUCAGCUUCUUGGAUGACCCUGAAGUAAAGGUUAAAAACUCCAUUUGCAGUGGGAGAGAAAAGGGCCUUUGCUCAAAGCCAAACAGCCACAGUCAACAACAGCAUAGUAUCUGAGCUCUGUCUGGCUCAAGCCUCUGUGGUAGAGAUCAGGACUUGCCUUCCAAAUGUCCACUUUCUUCUUCUUCUUUACAGCUACUUUGGAUCCUGAGUUGACUUUGAGAAUGGAAGCCAUGCGUUUAGAAAAUAGAUAACAGAAAAAGAAGGAAAUUGGGCUCAUGAUGAUGCUCUAGAAUUGCCAUGCCAGCCCCAGACUGCCUACUUCCAGACUUCUCUUAACAUGAGAGAUCAAACCUUUGUGUGUUUAAAUCACCAUUUGAAAGGAAUCUGUAUUAAGUGGUAUAGUCUCUCUUUCCCUCAGCCAUCUUUGCUCCAACCAAUCCUUUUUUCCUUUUUAAACUCCUAUUCUGUUGUGAAUUAAAUUCUCUUAUAUGGUCAAAAUUUUUCUAUCACUCUUUCACCUUAAUCAAUACAUGCCAUUUUCACUGAGGAUAAAAAUUCUCUCCCAAGGCAAGAUAGGGAACUUCCUCUUUUGCCUGCCUGUCCAGGUUAGCAAGGCUCACAAUUCCUGAACAGAUAGCAUUUGUCUCCUCUCUCUGGAGUCUAAGUGGAAAGUACAGUCCCUUGAGUAUGAAAGUAAUGCUACUGACCCAUCAUCACUAAAGCAUCUUGAGAAAGUAUUUUUUUGCCACCUUCCUCUCUCCCUCGUCUCAAAGGUGGGCAGUAUGAAAAAGCAGGGCAAAAAAGUCCUGCAAAAGAGUGAAGGCUGAGGCAAUAAAAGAGAGUGAAACUAAAUGGCUCACCUGGAGACAGCACUCACCCGUUUGGCCUCUGAUUAGCAUUGUGCCUUAACCCACAGAAAUAAGCAGCCUUAGACAUCCGCUAGAAUAUUGGUAUUUUCAAUGCCUAGUUUGAAUGACAGGACCCUGGAGGCAAAACAUUUCCUGUGGAGAUUCUGUACUUUUGCCUGCUUCUGCUUUUCUAGCUCAAACAGCUCAAUUUUGUAGGGCUUCAAAGUACAGUUCAAGGGACAUUUUAUAAGUCAAGUUAAUGGGCCUGGGGAUAUUACUGUGACUCAUCAAUUACGGGGAAAAUAUGAGGUAUGUGUAAACAUUCUGCAAUGGGCUAGAAAAAAAGACCCAAUUAUGUUUGUGAUUAUUUCUAGUGGUACUUCCACAAUUUUUCACAAAAUAAUAUAAUGGCGAAUGAAUUGACCCUGGACAAUUUUGGAGAAAGUCCCAUGGCCCAGUGGGAUAAAGGUCAUUGUAAAGUUAAAGAGGACAGAAUCUCCCUAGCUAUUUCCAGAAGAAAAACAUGUUAUACAGAUAAUUAAAUGACUUAUAAAAUCACCAGGCAAGACUGAAGAAAGACAUAUAAAGCUGAGCUUUCAGAAAUAGUUCCCAAGCCACACCACAGAGCUGGGCCACCAGAAGAACCACAACCUCUUCUGUGAUUAGCUACCUGCCACUGUGGAAUGCUGCCAGUUCCGUAAGUGCAGUGCUUCACCACAAUUAGGAAAUAAACUCUAAAAGGAAGGCAUCUGGAUCAUGAAAUCAAUAUGAUCCAGGUGCUACUCAGUCAGGAAGCUGCUAACCCAGCUGCUACUGUUGUCUGCUUCCAAAUCAUACAGGGCCUGCUAUGUUCUUCACCAGCACAACUGAAACCCAACACCCUGCCUCAUGACACUCACACAGCUAGUAACUGGGCCCCGGGACUUGGUCCCAUGCUAAGAACAAAGCAACAAAACACUACCAUGGCUAUUCACCACCUUAUCUCCAAGGAAGUCACAGGCUGUUUUCUAACUUUAUAGCAUUUUCCAGAUGAAAAAAUAUACUCAAGAGGGGCUUGGAAUCAAUACCAAGAGACAAUCCACCAUUUCUACCACAGAAUAAAUGUACUCUUAUCAUUUUACUAAGAACAUAUUAAAUACCUGGUACAUACACAGUAGUAUCAUAGCCCAGGCAGUAAAUAGCCUUUGCUGAGAAAGAGUUAUCCAGGUCUUCAAUUUUCAUCAGCUUCAAUUUCCACCAAUAUAGCAGCUAAACUAUCCCAUUUUUCAUAGUACUGUUUACUAAACCAUAGACAAGCAGUCAUUGCACAAAUGUUUAUGAAUGACAGCAAUGAUCACGAUAAGUGUUCCGCGAAGCUCUGUAAAAAAAUAUAUAUGUUCCCAAGAACCUUUAUAUCUAAUACGAGAAUACAUAUACAAACAUGAGUAUCUCUAAAUGAAGUGACACGUGUAUAAUAAGUGUUCCAAACCAACCCUGGAAUUUAGUUAUAAUUAGAGUUAAAUUGUCCAUAACACAAGUGAGACAAAGUAGGCAUGCCUGAAUUAGCACACCAGUUACACUAUUUGAGAAACAUCAUUUAAGUAGCGUUGACCACUUUUCUUCCAAAGUAGCAAACAGAGUAGUGCAAAGUAAACAGAAAUUCAUGCAUGGGUCAAACUGUAUUACAGAAAAUACUCAGGCACACUAUUAAACACUGUGAAUUGGUUUUCAGACCAUUGCUAAGAUGUCUUUGAAAAGAAUGGUGCAAGACACUCAUUUGAUUCAGUUGGACACUGAAAUAAAUAUGCCUGGUACUAAAUCUGUCCUUUUGCAAUCACUGGGGAAAAACAAGUUUGGUCACUGAUGAGUCUGCCCAUUGGGCAAAAUCUACUCUCCUAUGCAACCGCUUUUGCAAUAAAUCAUGCAGAAGGACAGCCCUGGUGGUAAGGGCUGUCCACUGUGAUUCCUAUUCCCACAGCAAACUCUUACUAAUACAGGAUAGAAUUAUGGAAACUCCAUAUUAUAUAACAGAUAUAAUUUAUAUAUUUCCUGAAAGCUUUUUCUUUGUUAUUAUUUAUAUCUGGUUUUAUUUUUUACCACAACUAAAGGACACAAAAGCAACAAAUUAUAAUGCCACAACUGCACUUUUGAUAAUCCUAUAAAAAAAAUAAGUCCAAGGGACUAUAGACUGGAGACAAAAACCCAAGGAAGGAUGCUGUGGGGCCCCCUGCACCUUUCAAAUGUAUCUCAUUGCACAUUAGACCUGUACUAUGAUAUUCAUGGGCAAAUCCGGACAGUACCGGCAAGGCUGUCUGGCUGCACAGCUGGAUUAGCUAGAUGAUGACAACCCAUUCUCCCCAGAGCCUCGUGACAGAGGGCCAUAGGCCCCAGUAGCCAAAAAAUCAUUAGCACCUUAACUCCUCCUCAGAAUUCAUGUUGGCUCCUCAUCUCUUUGAACCAGUGCAAAGACAAAGAAGUGUCCCAGGCCACGAAACACCUUUUAAGCCACUACUUAUCCUUGCAUUUAUCCCUACUUCUAACCUGGUUCUCAAUUCAGAAGAAUUCAAAAAUCAAGUCUAGCUUCCCACCUCCACCUUCCCUCAAAUUAUCGGUAUGGAGAGAAGCCUCAGGAAGGGGUCUUAGGACCCCAAGAGGCAGGAAAACCCCAGGGAGCCUCUAAUGCC
rnacentral:lncRNA from 1 species